GCGUUUGUGCUUUCUUCACGUGUCUCUUUAGAAGGAAAUCCAUUGGCAGUUAUUGAUAUUCGAACGUAACAUUGCACGCCCAAAUAACCGCCUUGUCGACCGAGUUGCCACUAUCGUAAGUCCUACGCAGUCGAUGCUAUCACAUAGUCAAAAUGUCUUCUACAACAUCCGAAAAUUUCACUAAGUUCAGAUUCUGGUCGAACCAAGAUUUUUUGUGUUUGCCCUUGUUUGCUGAGGCUUUUCCUCUUGUCGAAAAUCUUAGCUAACAAAUUUCCCCCCAAAAAGGUUCUUUCAACGAUUUCAGGAGACAGGGGCAUUUUUUAUAGGGUCCGUUUGUUUUGGCUUUUUU
rnacentral:lncRNA from 1 species